AUACGUAGGGAGCGAGCGUUGUCCGGAAUUACUGGGUGUAAAGGGAGCGUAGGCGGGAGUGCAAGUCAGAUGUGAAAUACAUGGGCUCAACCCAUGGGCUGCAUUUGAAACUGCAUUUCUUGAGUGAAGUAGAGGUAAGCGGAAUUCCUGGUGUAGCGGUGAAAUGUGUAGAUAUCAGGAGGAACACCGGUGGCGAAGGCGGCUUACUGGGCUUUUACGGACGCUGAGGCUCGAAAGCGUGGGGAGCAAACAGGAUUAGAUACCCUGGUAGUCCACGCUGUAAACGAUGAUUACUAGGUGUGGGGGGACUGACCCCUUCCGUGCCGCAGUUAACACAAUAAGUAAUCCACCUGGGUAGUUCGGCCGCAAGGUUGAAACUUAAAGGAAUUGACGGGG
rnacentral:rRNA from 1 species